ACUUUGCAAUGCGGGAAACCGUGACAAGGGAACUCUGAGUGCCCGUAAAAUCGGGCUGUCCAUCAGUUUAAAUAACUGGUGAAGAAAGGGCCGGGCAAGACCGGUGCCAGCCGCCGCGGUAAUACCGGCGGCUCGAGUGGUGGCCACUAUUACUGGGCUUAAAGCGUUCGUAGCUGGUUUGUUAAGUCUCUGGGGAAAUCUUCCGGCUUAACCGGAAGGCGUCUCAGGGAUACUGGCAGACUAGGGACCGGAAGAGGUGAGAGGUACUCCAGGGGUAGGAGUGAAAUCCUGUAAUCCUUGGGGGACCACCUGUGGCGAAGGCGUCUCACCAGAACGGCUCCGACAGUGAGGGACGAAAGCUGGGGGAGCAAACCGG
rnacentral:rRNA from 1 species